rnacentral:tmRNA from 1 species
GGGGAUGUCCGGAUUUGACAGAAUGAUUGAUUAAUAUGGAUUGCGUGUCCGAGCGCUGUUCUCGGUUAUCAACGAGCAUAGCAAAUAAAUGCUAACAAUGUAAUCGAAGCUGAUUUUUCAAGAGCAUCUGCUCUUGCUGCGUAAGACGCAGUCAGCCACUUUAUAAGCCCAACUUGCCGGUUUAUAAGGUCCAUUAUGCAAGUCGCAGUGUGCUGACGACGGUAGGCACAUCAAGUUAACCGUUGAAGGUUUUGUAUUUCCGCAAAAAAUGCUUUGGCAGACUUAACGGUCAUGAUACUUUCCGGAGUAUGCCGAGAAAAUUGGUAUCUACGCACGUAGAAGUUCAUGUUAUUCCAUUUUGGACGUGGGUUCGAGUCCCACCAUCUCCACCA